GACGAACGCUGGCGGCGUGCUUAACACAUGCAAGUCGAACGGAAAGGCCCUGCUGUUGUUGGGGGCUCGAGUGGCGAACGGGUGAGUAACACGUGAGUAACCUGCCCUUGACUUUGGGAUAACUUCAGGAAACUGGGGCUAAUAUCGGAUAGGAGCUCCUGCGGCAUGGUGGGGGUUGGUAAGUUUAGGCGGUUGGGGAUGGACUCGCGGCAUAUCAGCUUGGUUGUGGGGUAGUGGCUUACCAAGGCUUUGACGGGUAGCCGGCCUGAGAGGGUGACCGGGCACAUUGCGACUGCGGUACGGCACAGACUCCUACGGGAGGCAGCAGUGGGGAAUAUUGCAGAAUGGGCGGAAGCCUGAUGCAGCGCCGCCGCGUGCGGGAUGACGGACUUCGGGUUGUAAACCGCUUUGGCCUGUGACGAAGCGUGCGUGACGGUAAUGGGUAAAGAAGCAACGGCUAACUACGUG
rnacentral:rRNA from 1 species